rnacentral:rRNA from 1 species
GAUGAACGCUGGCGGCGUGCCUAAUACAUGCAAGUCGAGCGAACGGACGAGAAGCUUGCUUCUCUGAUGUUAGCGGCGGACGGGUGAGUAACACGUGGAUAACCUACCUAUAAGACUGGGAUAACUUCGGGAAACCGUAGCUAAUACCGGAUAAUAUUUUGAACCGCAUGGUUCAAAAGUGAAAGACGGUCUUGCUGUCACUUAUAGAUGGAUCCGCGCUGCAUUAGCUAGUUGGUAAGGUAACGGCUUACCAAGGCAACGAUGCAUAGCCGACCUGAGAGGGUGAUCGGCCACACUGGAACUGAGACACGGUCCAGAAUCCUACGGGAGGCAGCAGUAGGGAAUCUUCCGCAAUGGGCGAAAGCCUGACGGAGCAACGCCGCGUGAGUGAUGAAGGUCUUCGGAUCGUAAAACUCUGUUAUUAGGGAAGAACAUAUGUGUAAGUAACUAUGCACAUCUUGACGGUACCUAAUCAGAAAGCCACGGCUAACUACGUG